UGGCUCUGGCAUCGAUGAAGAACGCAGCGAAAUGCGAAAAGUAAUGUGAAUUGCAGAAUUCAGUGAAUCAUCGAAUCUUUGAACGCACAUUGCGCCCGCCAGUAUUCUGGCGGGCAUGCCUGUCUGAGCGUCAUUUCAACCCUCACGCCCCCUGCGGGCGUGGUGUUGGGGAUCGGCCCGGGCUCCCUCGGGGGCGGGCCGUCCCCUAAAUCGAGUGGCGGACUCGCCGUGGCCUCCUCUGCGUAGUAGUUCUAUUCCGCAGGCGGAGGGCGGCGAGCCCCUGCCGUAAAACCCCCAACCCCUUCCAAGGUUGACCUCAGAUCAGGUAGGAAUACCCGCUGA
rnacentral:misc_RNA from 1 species